UGCGGACCUUUUAAAAGCUUGCUUUUAAAAGGUUAGCGGCGGACGGGUGAGUAACACGUGGGCAACCUGCCUGUAAGACUGGGAUAACGCCGGGAAACCGGGGCUAAUACCAGAUCGUUUUUUCCUCCGCAUGGAGGAAAAAGGAAAGGCGGCUUCGGCUGCCACUUACAGAUGGGCCCGCGGCGCAUUAGCUAGUUGGCGGGGUAAUGGCCCACCAAGGCAACGAUGUGUAGCCGACCUGAGAGGGUGAUCGGCCACAUUGGGACUGAGACACGGCCCAAACUCCUACGGGAGGCAGCAGUAGGGAAUCUUCCGCAAUGGACGAAAGUCUGACGGAGCAACGCCGCGUGAGUGAAGAAGGCCUUCGGGUCGUAAAACUCUGUUGCCGGGGAAGAACAAGUGCCGUUCAAACAGGGCGGCGCCUUGACGGUACCCGGCCAGAAAGCCACGGCUAACUAC
rnacentral:rRNA from 1 species